GCCCAGUUGGCGGAAUUGGUAGACGCGCUGGUCUCAAACACCAGUGAGAAAUCGUGCCGGUUCGACUCCGGCACUGGGUA
rnacentral:tRNA from 2 species